rnacentral:piRNA from 1 species
UCCUAGUCCUGUGUCUGGUGAUGCCCCC